rnacentral:rRNA from 1 species
AACGACCAUACCAUGCUGAAUAUACCGGUUCUCGUUAGAUCACCGAAGUCAAGCAUCAUUGGGCUCGGUCAGUACUUGGGUGGGUGACCACCUGGGAACACCGCGUGCCGUU